rnacentral:rRNA from 1 species
GAUUUUGAUCCUGGCUCAGGAUGAACGCUAGCGGGAGGCUUAACACAUGCAAGCCGAGGGGUAUAUAAUUGCUUGCAAUUAUAGAGACCGGCGGAUGGGUGAGUAACGCGUAUGAAACCUGCCCUAUUCAUCAGGAUAGCCCUAGGAAACUGGGAUUAAUACUGAAUAACACUAAUAUCGGCAUCGAUGUUGGUUAAAAGAUUUAUCGGAAUAGGAUGGUCAUGCGUCAGAUUAGUUAGUUGGUAGGGUAACGGCCUACCAAGGCAAUGAUCUGUAGGGGGCCUGAGAGGGUGAUCCCCCACACUGGUACUGAGACACGGACCAGACUCCUACGGGAGGCAGCAGUGAGGAAUAUUGGACAAUGGGUGAGAGCCUGAUCCAGCCAUCCCGCGUGCAGGAAGAAUGCCUUAUGGGUUGUAAACUGCUUUUAUACAGGAAUAAACCACUUUACGUGUAAGGUGUUGAAGGUACUGUAUGAAUAAGCAUCGGCUAACUCCGUGCCAGCAGCCGCGGUAAUACGGAGGAUGCAAGCGUUAUCCGGAUUUAUUGGGUUUAAAGGGUCCGUAGGCGGGCAUAUAAGUCAGAGGUGAAAUCCGACAGCUUAACUGUCGAACUGCCUUUGAAACUGUAUGUCUUGAGUGAGAUUGAAGCAGCUGGAAUGUGUAGUGUAGCGGUGAAAUGCAUAGAUAUUACACAGAACACCGAUAGCGUAGGCAGGUUGCUAAGUCUUUACUGACGCUGAUGGACGAAAGCGUGGGGAGCAAACAGGAUUAGAUACCCUGGUAGUCCACGCCGUAAACGUUGGAUACUGUCUAUUGGAAUUUUCAGUGGAUAAGCGAAAGUGAUAAGUAUCCCACCUGGGGAGUACGUUCGCAAGAAUGAAACUCAAAGGAAUUGACGG